GACAGAGGUGCCGAGCGUUAGGCGGAAUCACUGGGCUUAAAGCGUGUGUAGGCGGGCCGUUAAGUACCUUGUGAAAUCCCCCGGCUCAACCGGGGAACUGCUGGGUAUACUGGCGGCCUUGAGCGGCCUAGGGGCAGAUGGAACAGACGGUGGAGCGGUGAAAUGCGUAGAGAUGUGGAGGAAUACCGAUGGCGAAGGCAGCCUCCUGGGCCAACACUGACGCUCAUGCACGAAAGCGUGGGGAGCAAACAGG
rnacentral:rRNA from 1 species